rnacentral:lncRNA from 1 species
AGACAGAAUAUAUGGAGUGCAAGUUCAGUGCAAAUGGAGGCCAAAACGAGUUAGGGGUGAGGAUCAGAGAUCAAGAAAUAACAAAGAGCGACCGUUUUCGUUAUCUAGGAUCUAUCUUGCAAAAGAACGGAGAAUUAGAUGGAGAUCUCAACCAUAGAAUACAAGCUGGAUGGAUGAAGUGGAAGAGUGCAUCAGGCGUGUUGUGUGACCGCCGUAUGCCACUAAAGCUCAAGGGAAAAUUUUAUAGGACGGCAAUAAGGCUGGCGAUGCUGUAUGGUACAGAAUGUUGGGCGGUGAAGCAUCAACACGUACACAAAAUGGGUGUAGCGGAGAUGAGGAUGCUUCGUUGGAUGUGUGGGCACACGAGAAAUGAUAAGAUUAGGAAUGAGGAUAUCUGGGGUAAAGUAGGAGUAGCCGAAAUUGAAGGAAAGAUGAGAGAAAAUCGGUUACGGUGGUUUGGACAUGUGCAAAGAAGGCCUACUGACGCUCCGAUUAGAAGAUGCGACUAUGGGACAGAGGUUCAGGGCCGAAGGGGUAGAGGAAGACCUAGGAAAACUUUGGAAGAGACCCUAAGAAAAGACUUAGAGUACUUGGAUCUAACGGAGGACAUGACACAGGACAGAACACAAUGGCGUUCUAAGAUUCAUAUAGCCGAUCCCACUCAGUGACUUGGAUUUUCCAAGUCUCCAACCGAGAAGUUUUCCUCACUCGGGAAAUUAAGGGAACACUACCUCAACCUACAUGCUCCACUCACAAAGCUUCAACAUACAAGCUUCAACAAAAGAAAAUUCAAAGAACUUAGUGAAGAAGGCUUUGGUGUAUUUAACACAAUACGUGGAAAUGAAGGAAAACUUAUUUAUUGAUAGCCCCGAUAAGUUACAAAUAUGUACAUAUACUUGAGUCAAAAUAAACAAACAAAAGGGAGCCUUCACAAAGGUUGCUUAGGAGAAGUCUCAGCAGUCGGUAGAGCCCCAGAAAGAGAAGGCACCGGAGGGGGAUCAUUCGGAGCCUCAGUACUGGACAGAACCCUAGAAGGAGGAGGCAUCAGAGGUUGAUCAUUUGGAGCUUCAUUAAGCGGUACAGCCCCAGAAGACGAAGGCAAUAAAUGCCUUUGGAACAAACCCACAAAUCUCUGAUGAUCAAGUAAAACCUGAUCAUCAGAUUCCUUCAUCUGGUCAAGCUUCCUCUUCAUGUUUGUAGCAUAGUCAUGUGUGAGCCGGUGCAACUGUUUAUUCUCAUGCUUGAGCCCUCUAGUCUCCUGUUUGAGACUCAUCACUUCAGCCGCCAAUGAUUCAACUUGGCGGGUUCGAGCAAAUAGGCGUUGGGCCAUAUUAGACACAGAACCUGCACACUGAACACUGAGAGCCAGAGAAUCCUUAACAGCCAACUCAUCAGACCGUUUGGAAAGUAGUCUGUUAUCUUUGGGAGUGAGAAGGUUCCUGGCCACUACCGCAGCGGUCAUAUCAUUCUUCAUCACGGAAUCCCCAAUGGUAAGAGGACCAGUAGGGGAGACAAAGGAUGGGCGCCAUAUGUUGUCUGGAGAAGGCGAGGCUGCCUCUUCAACAAGGUUCAAGUCAAAACGACGGUCGGAGGGGCCAGACAUUUUCAAAGGUGUUGAAGAGAGAAGAGGUCGGACAAAUCAAGAUCUUAGAAGUGCAAGAAUGGAGCUUCUACUGGUGGAUAUUCAAGUGUGCUUUGGAACUUAAUGUCAGCCCCUAUAAAAAUUUGCACUCGACGAAGCUUCAGAAAUCGAAGAGGCGCCUGCUCAGAAAUCGAAGAGGCGUUUGCUUUCUCAAAAGCUGGGCUGCUCAGAGAUCACGAGGGUCGAUCUCAGAAAUCGAAGAGGCGUUUGCUUUCUCAAAAGCUAGGCUGCUCAAAGACCACGAAGGCCGAUCUCAGAAAUCGAAGAGGCUUGCUUUCUCAAAAGCUGGGCUGCUCAGAGACCACGAGGGCCAAUCUCAGAAAUCGAAGAGGCACCUACUUUUUCAGCCUUGUCAGCAUCUGUCACACGCACACUCAGCUUUGCGGAAAUUAUGGGCAUUCUGUCGAAGAUUUCUGGCGAAGUAGAAAGCACAUGAAUCGUACUGUUCAAUCACCCACUUCCCACACGCAACAGUAGCUCAUGGGUACCACAGAUAACUUUGCCAAAGUUCUCUGACAAAGUUGAGACACGUGAAGCUUGCAGCUCCCACUACAUCGCUCUGACCAAGAAGGGUAAAAGAAUAGCAAAGAAAUAACACUAACAAAGUUUAGACACAUAAAUUUUGAAGGUCUAGCUACCAUAUUAUUACCCACAAGGGUAAAGGAACAGUACCACUGAUGGAUAAUUGGAAAGUCCCGGUGUGUCAACCUCUGUGCUUCGUGGCAAGGUAGACUAGCAAACAUGCCCAACCUUUACUCACAUUCGAGAAAACACUCCCAACAAGAUUGCUUGCUCCAAAAUCGAAGAGGCACCGCCCUCCGAAUCUCGAGAGCCAGACUCCCAACAUGACUUGAGAUCAUUCUCCCACAAUAUUUCCUAAUGUCAUUUGUACUAAAUCAUUCACUUGUACUCACUAAAGGAGAGCUUGAACCUAUGUACUUGUGUAAACCCUUCACAAUUAAUGAGAACUCAUCUAUUCCGUGGACGUAGCCAAUCUGGGUGAACCACGUACAUCUUGUGUUUGCUUUCCUAUCUCUAUUCAUUUAUAUACUUAUCCACACUAAUGACCGGAGCAAUCUAGCGAAGAUCACAAAAAGUGACCGUUUUCGCUACCUAGGAUCUAUCUUGCAAGAGAACGGAGACUUAGAUGGAGAUCUCAACCAUAGAAUACAAGCUGGAUGGUUGAAGUGUAAGAGUGCAUCCGGCGUGUUUGUGUGACCGUCGUAGGCCACUGAAGCUCAAGGGAAAAUUUUAUAGGACGGCAAUAAGGCCGCGAUGUUGUAUGGCACAGAAUGUUGGGUGGUGAAGCAUCAACACGUACACAAAAUGGGUGUAGCGGAGAUGAGGAUGCUUCGUGGGAGGUAUGGGCACACGAGAAAGGAUAAGAUUGAGAAUGAGGAUAUCCGAGGUAAAGUAGGAGUAGCCAAAAUUGAAGGAAAUAUGAGAGAAAAUCGGUUCCGGUGGUUUGGACAUGUGCAAAGAAGGCCUACUGACGCUCCGGUUCGAAAAUGUGACUAUGGGACAGAGGUUCAGGGCCGAAGGGGUAGAGGAAGACCUAGGAAAACUUUGGAAUAGACCCUAGGAAAAGACUUGAGUACUUGGAUCUAACGGAGGACAUGACACAAAACCGAGCACAAUGGCGUUCUAGGAUUCAUAUAGCCGACCCCACUUAGUGGGAAAAGGUUUUGUUGUUGUUGUUGUUGUUGUUGUGAGUAUUUCUAUUAGCUCUAACUAGUAACCAUUUAUAAC